rnacentral:rRNA from 1 species
UUAGACAAUGGGGGAAACCCUGAUCUAGCCAUGCCGCGUGAGUGAUGAAGGCCUUAGGGUUGUAAAGCUCUUUCAGCUGGGAAGAUAAUGACGGUACCAGCAGAAGAAGCCCCGGCUAACUCCGUGCCAGCAGCCGCGGUAAUACGGAGGGGGCUAGCGUUGUUCGGAAUUACUGGGCGUAAAGCGCACGUAGGCGGACUGGAAAGUUGGAGGUGAAAUCCCAGGGCUCAACCUUGGAACUGCCUUCAAAACUAUCAGUCUGGAGUUCGAGAGAGGUGAGUGGAAUUCCGAGUGUAGAGGUGAAAUUCGUAGAUAUUCGGAGGAACACCAGUGGCGAAGGCGGCUCACUGGCUCGAUACUGACGCUGAGGUGCGAAAGUGUGGGGAGCAAACAGGAUUAGAUACCCUGGUAGUCCACACCGUAAACGAUGAAUGCCAGUCGUCGGGCAGUAUACUGUUCGGUGACACACCUAACGGAUUAAGCAUUCCGCCUG